UCCUUUGCAUGUUUUCUCUCUGUACAGCUUAAAAUGACGAAUGUGUAAUCUCAGUGGAAUAAAUGGCGUCCAGAGUUACAGAUGCUAUAGUCUGGUAUCAAAAGAAGAUUGGAGCCUAUGAUCAACAAAUAUGGGAAAAAUCUGUUGAACAAAGAGAAAUCAAGGGGUUAAGGAAUAAACCAAAGAAAACAGCACACGUGAAACCAGACCUCAUAGAUGUUGAUCUUGUGAGAGGGUCUGCAUUUGCUAAGGCAAAGCCUGAAAGUCCUUGGACUUCUCUGACUAGAAAAGGAAUUGUUCGUGUUGUGUUUUUUCCCUUUUUCUUUCGGUGGUGGUUACAAGUAACAUCGAAGGUCAUCUUUUCCUGGCUUCUUGUCCUCUAUCUCCUUCAAGUUGCUGCAAUAGUAUUAUUCUGUUCCGCUCCUAGCCCACAUAGCAUACCUCUAACUGAAGUGAUUGGGCCAAUAUGGCUGAUGCUGCUCUUGGGGACUGUGCAUUGCCAGAUUGUUUCAACAAGAACACCCAAACCUCCUCUAAGCACAGGUGGUAAAAGAAGAAGGAAAUUAAGAAAAGCAGCUCAUUUGGAAGUUCAUAGGGAAGGAGAUGGGUCCAGUACCACAGACAACACCCAGGAGGGAGCGGUCCAGAGCCACGGUGCAGGCACCUCCUACAGUGUUGGCACAGUCUUCAGAGAUCUCUGGAAUGCUGCUUUCUUUUUAUCAGGGUCAAAGAAAGCAAAGAAUUCAAUUGAUAAGUCAACUGAGACCGACAAUGGCUAUGUGUCCCUCGAUGGGAAAAAGACUGUAAAAAGCGGUGAAGAUGGACCCCAAGACCUUGAGCCUCAGUGUGAAACCAUUCGACCAGAAGACAUAGCCUGGGCCACUCCAAUGCCAAGGAAUGUCCCUGCCAAAGAUGCCCAAAGAAAGAUAACAAAUGUCUCUGAUGAAGUGUCCAGUGAGGACGACCCUGAGACGGGAUACUCAUUGCGCUGUCAUGGGGACAGAACUUCUGAAAGCAGUCUUCGAAAUAGAAAGCCACACCAUUAUAAAAAGCAUUAUGCAAAUGAGGAUGCCCCUAAAUCGGGUACUAGUUGCAGCUCUCGAUGUUCAAGUUCCAGACAGGAUUCUGAGAGCACAAGGCCAGAAUCCGAGACGGAAGAUGUCUUAUGGGAAGACUUGUUACAUUGUGCAGAAUGCCAUUCAUCCUGUACCAGUGAGACAGACGUGGGAAAUCCUCAGGUUAACCCAUGUGUGAAAAAAGAAUAUAGAGACGACCCCUUUCACCAGAGUCAUUUGCCCUGGCUUCAUAGUUCCCACCCAGGAUUAGAAAAAAUCAGUGCUAUAGUAUGGGAAGGCAAUGAUUGUAAGAAAGCAGACAUGUCUGUGCUUGAAAUCAGUGGAAUGAUCAUGAACAGAGUGAACAACCAUGUACCAGGUAUAGGAUAUCAGAUAUUUGGGAAUGCCGUCUCCCUGAUCCUGGGCUUAACCCCAUUUGUUUUCCGACUGUCCCAAGCAACAGACUUGGAGCAACUCACAGCCCAUUCUGCAUCAGAACUUUAUGUGAUUGCAUUUGGUUCUAACGAAGAUGUCAUGGUUCUUUCUAUGGUCCUGAUAAGUUUUGUGGUUCGAGUAUCUCUUGUAUGGAUCUUCUUCUUUUUGCUGUGUGUAGCAGAAAGAACAUAUAAACAACGAUUACUCUUUGCAAAACUCUUUGGGCAUUUGACAUCUGCAAGGAGAGCUCGGAAGUCUGAGGUUCCUCAUUUCCGGUUGAAGAAAGUACAGAAUAUAAAAAUGUGGCUAUCUCUCCGCUCCUAUCUUAAGCGUCGAGGUCCUCAGAGAUCAGUUGAUGUCAUUGUUUCAUCAGCUUUCUUACUGACAAUCUCAGUUGUAUUUAUCUGUUGUGCUCAGCUGCUCCAUGUGCACGAGAUCUUCCUUGACUGUCACUACAACUGGGAGCUGGUGAUCUGGUGCAUCUCCUUGACACUGUUCCUCCUGAGGUUUGUGCUUCUUGGAUCAGAAACAAGUAAAAAAUACAGCAAUACCUCAAUACUACUUACAGAGCAGAUAAACCUCUACUUGAAAAUGGAGAAGAAACCUAACAAAAAGGAGGAGCUGACACUUGUGAAUAAUGUUUUAAAACUGGCUACUAAACUAUUGAAGGAGUUGGACAGUCCCUUUCGAUUGUACGGACUCACAAUGAACCCGCUGCUGUACAAUAUUACCCAGGUUGUCAUCCUGUCAGCUGUCUCUGGUGUCAUCAGUGACUUGCUAGGAUUUAAUUUAAAGCUGUGGAAGAUUAAAUCAUGACAGGUAGAGAUGAAGACGUGGCUCGUUUCCCAGAGCGUGAGUGCUGAAGAAGCUGUCUGGACGCAAUCACUGGCUCUGCUCCGGAGUCUACUGGGAACGAAGUGUUUACAUCAGGCUUCUGUUUGAAGCAUUGAAGUUCUUAGUUUUUGAAAGGGUGACAAAGCUGGCCCCAAUACUUGAGGUCCUGGCAAUUGUUCAUAUGUAAUUGACAAACAAAUUGUGAAACAGAAGCCAUCCUAAGCACUGCUUCUCCAUCAAUGCCGUGAACUUGCCUUACUUGAUGAAGACUUCAGCUCUGAAACAGUGCGUUGCACUCAGCUAACCACAUAGAUCGUGUUCUUUGGUAAACCAGGAUCCACUCAGGAUCGCUCUUGAAAUAUUUCAGAACAAUGCUGGGAUCUAAACUGAUUAAGCUACAGUUGAAGCACCCUUCAGUAUUAAUAUGUGGUAUUAUGUAACAGGUCAACAAGUGCUCUUUGAUAAUAAAACUCUUAAUGGAGCAAUAAUUGUAAAUGGUUACCAUACUGUAAAAUAUUUUGAUAAAAAUUAGUAGUAAAUGUAUUUAUUUGAAACACUGAGCUGUUUGCACAGCUCCAACUGUGCAUGCUCAAAAUGUGCACUUUUAAAAAUUGUUACUUUUGGUGUGUGUCUUUAUGUGGGAUAUGUUACAGUGUACUAGGGCAUAAUACGGUAUCCUUUUGAGUGAGGUCUGUCCUCAUCUCACAAGUGAAGUGCCUCCUGCUGUCACUAAAGUACGUCACGUUUACUCAGAAGAAUUUCCCUUGGUACACUAUAGCGUAUGCUGUUCCUUCCACACUUAAGUGAAGCUUAAGAAUAAAGUUAAGAACCAACAAAAUAUUUACCUGAUUGUUAGUUAUCAAAUUUCCAAAUUUCCUGAAAGAUGGCUUCAUUCUACCACUCCUAGCCUCUGAAUUUAAUCUGGUGCACCCCUCCUCCAGCUCCGUUAUAUAAGGGCUAUUUUUAGAUGCUUUUAACAUGGAAAGCUAGCUUCUCUCCCUUCAAUAACUUGUCAAGUGUCCAGAGGGAGCUUAUCAUGUUUCUUGUUAGGGAAUUAGGGCAGAUAUGAUAGUCCCUGCAUCUGGCCUUGAUUCUAAGUUGUUACAUUUGUACAAUCAGUAGUGUUUUAAGAAUUACAUGAAACAAAAUGUUUUUGUGAUUGUUUUGUUUAAGCCAAGCAUUUGAAACAAUCUAGAAUUUUCUUGGUGCAAAGUCAUAUCGAAUAUAUUCAUAUUUUUUAGCCUAUUUUAAGGGAUUUAAAUAAUUAAUUGUAAAUAAUUUGUUUGAUUGGUGCAGUUUUAGUUCCCAAAUCACUCAAUAUCAGGAAUGUGCAGAGAACAGAGCCAUGAGAUGUGUUGCUCUGCCCAUUCCACAGCAGCCUCAGUACAGCCUCAUUGUAGAGUGCUCUUUGUGUAGGAAGCAGCAGACAGCAUUGGUUCCGUUUGCCUGUGUUCUGACGUCCAAUAAUGACCAAAGUGCAUUCUGAGUACUUUCAAGGAAUGUAUUACUGGAGCUUUAAGAACAUACUUAGUUUCUCAUGUGACAAGUUAGGCUUUGUCUGAUAUGUUUCUUCCUCUAUUGUCUAAUGUUGAGGUUGUUUUUAGGCACUAUAUUUUAUAAACUUUUUCAAAAUAAGGUACAUACCUAUACAGAACUUAACAUUUUGCACAGAUUAUAUCAGAUAUAUUUUGAGAAAAAAAGUACAGCAUGAAUUCUGUUAGAAAUAAAAAGACGAAAUUAUUGUAUCUUACAAAAACUUAUUUCAGAAUGGAAAUAUUUUUGAGAAAAGUAGCAGAGUGUACUGAUUUAGGAAAAUGCUUGCUUUAGGUUGUUUAACGUGGAGUUGGGAGUUGAUGUACAGUAUAUCUGUCAGCAACAUGAUACAUUGAUGUGCCAUUAAUGUGGGCAGCAGUAGAAUACUAAGUGUUGUAAGCAGUUAAUAAUGUUAACAGAAUCAUUUCAAAGUAGUAAGAUGACAUCGCUGCCUUUAAGAAUUCCAUGAAUGUAAAGAGUUGAGAUUGUAACAUAUCACAGCAUAGAGAAAAAGCAGUUCGAGGUAGAAUUAUGGCAGAUGUUGUGUGCUGGUUCUUUGCCACGUGUUGUUUUUGAAAAUUUGAAUGGCAAGUUUAAAAUAAAACAUUCUAUAACUGACA